AAACAAAGUUCCAGAGGUGAUACUAAAUUCAGGGAAAAAUAUGCCAAUGAUAGGUUUAGGGACAUCAACAAGUCCCUCUCCACCACAUGAAGUCCUCACCUCAAUUUUGGUUGAUGCCAUUAAAAUAGGCUACAGGCAUUUUGAUACUGCUUCUAUCUAUAAUACUGAAGAACCUCUAGGCCAAGCUGUGUCAAAAGCUUUAGAGCUAGGCCUCGUUAAAAAUCGCGAUGAACUGUUCGUUACUUCCAAGUUAUGGUGUACUGAUGCUCACCAUGACCUUGUUCUCCCAGCUCUCAAAUCCACUCUCAAGCAAGCAUAAUUCUCUUAACCUUUUUUUCUUCUUCUUUUAAGUUUGUGUAUUUUAUUUGUCUAAUAUUGUUGUUUUGGUUUUUUGGAUUGAAAUUUUUUAGAAAUCUGGGAUUGGGGUAUGUGGAUCUCUAUUUGAUUCACUGGCCAGUAAGGUUGAAACAAGACGUUGAAGGCCAUAACUUUAAAGGUGAGGAUACAAUUCCUUUUGACAUAAAAGGAACAUGGGAAUCUAUGGAAGAUUGUUAUAGAUUGGGCAUAGCAAAGUCUAUUGGUGUCAGCAACUUUGGUAUCAAAAAGCUCUCCAUGCUCUUAGAAAAUGCCGAAAUUGCUCCUGCAGUUAACCAGGUAUAUGAAUUUAGUACUACUUGAUUUGAUUCAUUAUGCCUCAGUUGCUUCAAAAUGGAAGAGCAUCAUACACGUAUCGUCAGAUAUUUCCCAAAACUUAUAGUAUCCAAUAAUUUAUUGUAAUUCUUUCGCAAAAUAUUUCCUUCGAUACUUUUUUACCAACUAAGCACGCAAUUGUCAUCUAGAUAUGAUAUAUCUUACUACUUAUAGACACAACGAGCAUCAUACAAAUUCAUAUUUGGAUUUAGGUGGAAAUGAACUCAUCAUGGCAUCAGGGGAAACUUAGAGAAUUCUGCAAGCAGAAAGGAAUCCAUGUGAGUGCAUGGUCACCACUAGGAGGCUACAAACUAAGUUGGGGUUCGCCUGCAGUGAUGGAGAAUUUGAUUCUGCGCAAAAUUGCUGAGGCUAGAAAGAAGAGUGUAGCCCAGGUGCAGUUGAUUAUUUUAUUUCAAAUUAUUUUUAAUGAUAACUAUGACCUAUGUUAAUUCAAUUUAGAUUUUAAUGAAGUUUUAAAAUAUGCAGCCCUGUUUUAUAAUUCAAGUUUUUUUUUUCAAUGGUCAAACUUUAGACUUAGUCAUAGAAGUGCUAAUGCCACAUCAUGAACCUUAGAUUGUUAUGUGAAACAAAUAAAUAGUUUUAUAUUGAAACUUCAUAAAGUCAUACAUAUACCACUGUAUUGAGAUUACUGUUACAUUGAUAGUCUUUCUCUAAUAUUGACAAAUAUUAUACAGAUAGCACUAAGAUGGAUAUACCAGCAAGGGGUAAUUCCCAUUGUGAAGAGCUUCAACAAGGAGAGGAUGAAACAAAACAUUGAAAUAUUUGAUUGGGAAUUGAACCAAGAAGAAUUAGACAAAAUUAAUCAGAUUCCUCAAUGCAGACUGCUAAAGGCAGAAAUGUUUGUAUCUGAUAAUGGACCUUACAAGUCAUUGGAAGAGCUGUGGGAUGGCGACCCUUAAGCGAAUUCUUGUUUAAAUAUUCGAUGGGAUCAAUGCAAGUGUAUGUACUGAAUAAAUUAUUGUUUAAAUUCCUUAUGCAAGUGAAAUUUUAACUUUGAUUAAUAUCGUUAAUUCCUUAGUAUCGUUAAUUCCUUAGCUGACAUUAAAUAAGAGAAAACACUAAGAAGGAUUUAGUUACUAUUCAUGAACUAGAGAAUCAAUGGUAUGCUAGUUUAUUCUUUUCAUGUGUAUCUUUAGCUGAUUAAGCUUUUACGUCGAUUGGAUAAAUGACUUAAGAAUUUUUUAUGGAGUGGUGAUAUUUCCAGAAGGAAAAUUCUGUCCUGUUUCUUUUGCAGACCCUCGGCUUACCAUGGGAGGUGGGUGGCCUUGACCUGCGUUCUUCCACUACGUGAAAUAAGGGAUUUAGCCUCAGUCAUUUGGGAUCAGUCGCACCUGACUAACGUCAAGCAACAAAUUAUGCGCUAUUUCCCAUCACUCAAAUGUAGAAUAGCGCCUACAACAAAUACGUGGUAUGUAUUAGCCAAAAAAUUGGUUCGAGCCAACACAAAUGUAUCCUAUGUGGUGAAGUUUUCACCCAAAACCCCUAGUUUCAGACCCAAAAGCCCUAGCUAUCCAUUUCACCUGAAAUCCCUUCGUUUAUUAACCGUUCCUUCAAAGAAAGGUACCCCUAGUUCAACACAAAUGUAUGAAUGAGAUGCAUGCUUGUAAUCUGUGCCAUCUAUUGCCUGUGCUAGCUAGAGGAUGAGAUAAAGGCUCGCUGAGACUGAUAAGAGGAAGAUCUCAUCAUAAGUGUAGUUGUUCACAGAUAACAGUUAUGUCAAGGGACAACUUUUCAGUCUAAUUGGUUAUAAGAAUAAAUUAGUCUUAUACAUUGAGUAGUUGAUAAAAGUUUUUUUUGUCUUGUUCAACCAUUAGAACAUUUCUGCCAAUAGCCAACAAAAAAUGUUGCUUGCUAUAUUAGUUCAUCACUCAAUCAAACCCCUUGUAUAAACAAAACAAACAUUCACUAACUUGAUUUUUCAUAGGGGACAAAUACUCAAUAAUCAAUCUUAAAAUAAUAAUAAUAACAACAACAACACCAACAACGUCUUCUUUGCGUCUUGAACUUGUAAUAUAAUGGAAUUGCUUGCCUUUUCAUUAUGUGAAUAGAAUAUCUGUAUACAUGUGCAGGUCAACUAUCUAAUUAUGAUACAGCAUAAUUACAGGAAAAUAAUUAUAACUAAUUAUGACUAAUAUUCUAUUCUAUCAGAACUAUCAUCAAUAAAUUGUAUGAAGCUUAAGCCUUGAAAUCAACAAAAAUAAAAAAAGAUGGAAGCAAAGAAAGUUCCAGAGGUGAUACUAAAUUCAGGGAAAAAGAUGCCAAUGAUAGGUUUUGGAACAUCAGAAAAUCCCUCUCCACCACAUGAAGUCCUCACCUCAAUUUUGGUUGAUGCCAUUGAAAUAGGCUACAGGCAUUUUGAUACUGCUUCUGUCUAUAAUACUGAAGAACCUCUAGGCCAAGCUGUGUCAAAAGCUUUAGAGCUAGGCCUCGUUAAAAAUCGCGAUGAACUGUUCGUUACUUCCAAGUUAUGGUGUACUGAUGCUCACCAUGAC
rnacentral:lncRNA from 1 species